rnacentral:rRNA from 1 species
UACGUAGGGGGCAAGCGUUGUCCGGAAUCAUUGGGCGUAAAGCGCGUGUAGGCGGCUUGGUAAGUCCGUUCUGAAAGCCCGGGGCUCAACCCCGGGAGGCGGAUGGAUACUGUCAAGCUUGAGUCCGGAAGAGGCGAGUGGAAUUCCCGGUGUAGCGGUGAAAUGCGCAGAUAUCGGGAGGAACACCGGUGGCGAAGGCGGUUCUCUGGGCCUUACCUGACGCUGAGGAGCGAAAGCGUGGGGAGCGAACAGG